UUGUUGGAUCGCCCCGUCCCUUCUAGGGGGGGUUGCGUCCCCUCCCUGGGUCUCUGUGCUCGAUAUCGUGAUGCGGUAUUCUGAGGGGCUUUGGGCCCCGUCUAGGUUCCCUCGAUUCUCCUUCGCCUCGUUUGCGGUGGUGAAUACCGUGCGGGCGUCUACGUUUUCCAUCCGAGCCGUUGUCCCCGUCUUGGCGCUUCUUCUYGUGAUGGUGCGUGGAYGCUUCCGUCACGCCCUUGGGUACGGAUGAUUCGUUGGUAUUCUCGCUGAGGUCUYUCCCGUCCGGAGCGAGAUCCCGAUGUGUCGAAGCAUCAACGCUUCCGCCCGCGUGACCCUCGUGCCCGCGUAGGCUGUCGUGGGACUUCUCCGUCCCGCGUUCGGCUUGCGUGGGGCAUYGAUGUCUACAGAAGAAUGCUACCUGG
rnacentral:misc_RNA from 1 species